rnacentral:SRP_RNA from 8 species
GUUCCCGAGCAGCAGGACACUCGCGUACUUGCUCAGGUCC